GGAAGAAGCAUACUUGCAAUAUGUGAAGAAGUGUGGGGCUCGUUUGCUGUACAAGCAAGAUUUGGAAGAACUCAACCAACCACAAAAUCCUGGAACGAACAUGUGAAUAUCGUGACGAGGCAACUCUAAGUGGACCUAGAAGUGCUGGCUUUAAAGACACAAAACAAAUCUGCAAAAGGCAUUGUUAGUCACCAUCUUAUAAUAAAUGUAGUUCACUGUAAAACCAGUCCCCAUCAUAAGCUUGGGAAGAAUUGGAGGAGCCGGACUUAAAGUACGAGUACUAUCCUCGCGCCGUUCAGUUGGCCUCUAUGUUUCUUCCUUGUACAAGAAUGAACCACAAGUUUCUGAUCACCAAUGUGAUUUAUCUUGCCUGAUGUCAUUGCUAAUCUUGAGGUUCAUUUUCUGAAAACACCUUUAAUGUUAAUACCAGGGACUUGAAUUUCAAAUUUUUAUAGAAAGGAAGAAUUGACUUGUU